ACUCCUGCGGGAGGCAGCAGUGGGGAAUUUUGGACAAUGGGCGAAAGCCUGAUCCAGCCAUGCCGCGUGCAGGAUGAAGGCCUUCGGGUUGUAAACUGCUUUUGUACGGAACGAAACGGCCUUUUCUAAUAAAGAGGGCUAAUGACGGUACCGUAAGAAUAAGCACCGGCUAACUACGUGCCAGCAGCCGCGGUAAUACGUAGGGUGCAAGCGUUAAUCGGAAUUACUGGGCGUAAAGCGUGCGCAGGCGGUUAUGUAAGACAGUUGUGAAAUCCCCGGGCUCAACCUGGGAACUGCAUCUGUGACUGCAUAGCUAGAGUACGGUAGAGGGGGAUGGAAUUCCGCGUGUAGCAGUGAAAUGCGUAGAUAUGCGGAGGAACACCGAUGGCGAAGGCAAUCCCCUGGACCUGUACUGACGCUCAUGCACGAAAGCGUGGGGAGCAAACAGGAUUAGAUACCCUGGUAGUCCC
rnacentral:rRNA from 1 species